GCGGGAAUUCGAUUGUGCCAGCAGCCGCGGUAAUACGUAGGUGGCAAGCGUUGUCCGGGAAUUAUUGGGCGUAAAGGGCUCGCAGGCGGUUUCUUAAGUCUGAUGUGAAAGCCCCCGGCUCAACCGGGGAGGGUCAUUGGAAACUGGGGAACUUGAGUGCAGAAGAGGAGAGUGGAAUUCCACGUGUAGCGGUGAAAUGCGUAGAGAUGUGGAGGAACACCAGUGGCGAAGGCGACUCUCUGGUCUGUAACUGACGCUGAGGAGCGAAAGCGUGGGGAGCGAACAGGAUUAGAUACCCUGGUAGUCCACGCCGUAAACGAUGAGUGCUAAGUGUUAGGGGGUUUCCGCCCCUUAGUGCUGCAGCUAACGCAUUAAGCACUCCGCCUGGGGAGUACGGUCGCAAGACUGAAACUCAAAGGAAUUGACGGGGGCCCGCACAAGCGGUGGAGCAUGUGGUUUAAUUCGAAGCAACGCGAAGAACCUUACCAGGUCUUGACAUCCUCUGACAAUCCUAGAGAUAGGACGUCCCCUUCGGGGGCAGAGUGACAGGUGGUGCAUGGUUGUCGUCAGCUCGUGUCGUGAGAUGUUGGGUUAAGUCCCGCAACGAGCGCAACCCUUGAUCUUAGUUGCCAGCAUUCAGUUGGGCACUCUAAGGUGACUGCCGGUGACAAACCGGAGGAAGGUGGGGAUGACGUCAAAUCAUCAUGCCCCUUAUGACCUGGGCUACACACGUGCUACAAUGGACAGAACAAAGGGCAGCGAAACCGCGAGGUUAAGCCAAUCCCACAAAUCUGUUCUCAGUUCGGAUCGCAGUCUGCAACUCGACUGCGUGAAGCUGGAAUCGCUAGUAAUCGCGGAUCAGCAUGCCGCGGUGAAUACGUUCUCAGGCCUUGUACACACCG
rnacentral:rRNA from 1 species